AGCGGCGGACGGGUGAGUAACGCGUGGGUAACCUGCCUCAUACAGGGGGAUAACAGUUGGAAACGGCUGCUAAUACCGCAUAAGCGCGCAGUACCGCAUGGUACCGUGUGAAAAACUCCGGUGGUAUGAGAUGGACCCGCGUCUGAUUAGCUAGUUGGUGGGGUAACGGCCUACCAAGGCGACGAUCAGUAGCCGACCUGAGAGGGUGACCGGCCACAUUGGGACUGAGACACGGCCCAA
rnacentral:rRNA from 1 species